rnacentral:rRNA from 1 species
GACGAACGCUGGCGGCGUGCUUAACACAUGCAAGUCGAACGGAAAGGCCCUGCUUUUGUGGGGUGCUCGAGUGGCGAACGGGUGAGUAACACGUGAGUAACCUGCCCUUGACUUUGGGAUAACUUCAGGAAACUGGGGCUAAUACCGGAUAUGAGCUCCUGCUGCAUGGUGGUGGUUGGAAAGUUUCGGCGGUUGGGGAUGGACUCGCGGCUUAUCAGCUUGUUGGUGGGGUAGUGGCUUACCAAGGCUUUGACGGGUAGCCGGCCUGAGAGGGUGACCGGCCACAUUGGGACGGGGAUACAGCCCAGACUCCUACGGGGGGCAGCAGUGGGGAAUAUUGCACAAUGGGCGGAAGCCUGAUGCAGCAACGCGGCGUGCGGGAUGACGACCUUGGGGUUGUAAGCCGCUUUCGCCUGUGACGAAGCGUGGGUGACGGUAAUGGGUAAAGAAGCACCGGCUAACUAC